CUACGAGUUUGAUCCUGGCUCAGGAUGAACGCUAGCGCAGGCUUAAUACAUGCAAGUCAAGGGGGUAGCAAUACAACCGGCGCACGGGUGAGUAACGCGUACACAACAUACCAUAUACUGGAGUAUAGCUUUGGGAAACUGAAGGUAAUCCUCCAUAACAUUGCGAGAGGGCAUCUGAUUGCAAUUAAAGUUCCGGCGGUAUAUGAUUGGUGUGCGUUUGAUUAGCUAGUUGGUAGGGUAACGGCCUACCAAGGCGACGAUCAAUAGCUGGCGUGAGAGCGCGACCAGCCACACUGGAACUGAGACACGGUCCAGACUCCUACGGGAGGCAGCAGUAGGGAAUAUUGGACAAUGGGCGAAAGCCUGAUCCAGCCAUGCCGCGUGAUAGAUGAAGGCCCUCUGGGUUGUAAAUAUCUUUUAUCUGGGAAGAAACUCCUCUAUUCUUAGAGGCCUGACGGUACCAGAGGAAUAAGCACCGGCUAACUCCGUG
rnacentral:rRNA from 1 species